AGAGUUUGAUCCUGGCUCAGGAUGAACGCUAGCGACAGGCUUAACACAUGCAAGUCGAGGGGCAGCACAGGGUAGCAAUACUUGGGUGGCGACCGGCGCACGGGUGAGUAACGCGUAUGCAACUUACCUAUCAGAGGGGGAUAGCCCGGCGAAAGUCGGAUUAAUACCCCAUGAAACAGGGGUCCCGCAUGGGAAUAUUUGUUAAAGAUUCAUCGCUGAUAGAUAGGCAUGCGUUCCAUUAGGCAGUUGGCGGGGUAACGGCCCACCAAACCGACGAUGGAUAGGGGUUCUGAGAGGAAGGUCCCCCACAUUGGUACUGAGACACGGACCAAACUCCUACGGGAGGCAGCAGUGAGGAAUAUUGGUCAAUGGCCGAGAGGCUGAACCAGCCAAGUCGCGUGAAGGAAGAAGGAUCUAUGGUUUGUAAACUUCUUUUAUAGGGGAAUAAAGUGGAGGACGUGUCCUUUUUUGUAUGUACCCUAUGAAUAAGCAUCGGCUAACUCCGUGCCAGCAGCCGCGGUAAUGCGUAGGGGGCAAGCGUUAUCCGGAUUUACUGGGUGUAAAGGGAGCGUAGGCGGCGGAGCAAGUCAGAAGUGAAAGCCCGGGGCUCAACCCCGGGACGGCUUUUGAAACUGCCCUGCUUGAUUUCAGGAGAGGUAAGCGGAAUUCCUAGUGUAGCGGUGAAAUGCGUAGAUAUCGGGAGGAACACCAGUGGCGAAGGCGACCUACUGGGCACCAACUGACGCUGAGGCUCGAAAGCAUGGGUAGCAAACAGGAUUAGAUACCCUGGUAGUCCAUGCCGUAAACGAUGAUUAC
rnacentral:rRNA from 1 species